UGUUUGACAUUUUAAAAUGGCUUCCCAGUUUGCUCACCUGGGAAUGCCACUACCACCACAGUUAAAUGAUUUAUAAUAACGUUGGGUUUCCAUAAUGGAAAACCCUACCCUACACUCCUACUCAUGGCCACAUUUGUUUAAUCGUUUCUUAAACAUGGCAUCCCCUACUUAUGGCGGAAUUUGUUAAAUCGUUUCUUAAACAUGGCAUCCCCUACUUAUGGCGGAAUUUGUUAAAUCGUUUCUUAAACAUGGCAUCCCCUACUUAUGGCGGAAUUUGUUUAAUCGAUUCUUAAACAUGCAAUACUCGCUUCCAAUAGCCCGCUACCAAAUGCUACACGGUAUGGACACCUACUAAACUACCGCACCUAUUGCGGUACCAGGUCUGGGAUAUUCGAUGUCUUCCACAGAGACGACUACAUCUUCAUUUGCGGCUGGACCGCAAUGAUAGAGGAUACAAUACAACUUUUAUGAAAUGUUCCUGCGUUCUUGUUAUUAAUAAAUAAAAUAGCAUUUA